GUCCUUCAACAGCACAUACAAUAUGGAGAAGGUUAGCAUGGCCCCUGUGCAAAAAUGACACACAGAUUGGUGAAGCAUUCCAUAUUAAA
rnacentral:snRNA from 1 species